UACGGAGGGUGCAAGCGUUAUCCGGAUUCACUGGGUUUAAAGGGAGCGUAGGUGGGCUGGUAAGUCAGUGGUGAAAUCUCCGGGCUUAACUCGGAAACUGCCGUUGAUACUAUCAGUCUUGAAUAUUGUGGAGGUAAGCGGAAUAUGUCAUGUAGCGGUGAAAUGCUUAGAUAUGACAUAGAACACCAAUUGCGAAGGCAGCUUGCUACAGGGAUAUUGACACUGAGGCACGAAAGCGUGGGGAUCAAACAGG
rnacentral:rRNA from 1 species